rnacentral:rRNA from 1 species
AUUGAACGCUGGCGGCAGGCCUAACACAUGCAAGUCGAGCGGAGCGGCGGACGGGUGAGUAAUGCCUAGGAAUCUGCCUGGUGGUGGGGGAUAAAGUCCGGAAAGGGGCCCUAAUAACACAUACUAGCAGAUCAGCUUAGGUCGGAUUAGAUAGUUGGUGGGGUAAAGGCCUACCAAGGCGACGAUCCGUAACUGGUCUGAGGGGAGGAUCAGUCACACUGGAACUGGGAAACGGUCCAGACUCCUACGGGAGGCAGCAGUGGGGAAUAUUGGAGAAUGGGAGAAAGCCUGAUCCAGCCAUGGCGCGUGUAGGAAGAAGGUCUUCGGAUUGGAAAGCACUUUAAGUUGGGAGGCGUUACCAACAGAAGAAGCACCGGCUAACUUCGUGCCAGCAGCCGCGGUAAUUC